AGAAAAAAAGAGCCCAGAACGAUUCCUGUUCCGGGCUUAGGGGAAUGGCUCCUAAGAGCCUUGCGCUAACUGGUUAAAUUAAUCUUUAAACAUGAUUAACUUUAGACAGAAUGGUAUUUAAGUGCGUGUUUCAACAGU
rnacentral:sRNA from 1 species